rnacentral:rRNA from 1 species
GUGGGGAAUAUUGGACAAUGGGGGGAACCCUGAUCCAGCCAUGCUGCGUGUGUGAAGAAGGCCUUUUGGUUGUAAAGCACUUUAAGCGAGGAGGAGGCUACCGAGAUUAAUACUCUUGGAUAGUGGACGUUACUCGCAGAAUAAGCACCGGCUAACUCUGUGCCAGCAGCCGCGGUAAUACAGAGGGUGCAAGCGUUAAUCGGAUUUACUGGGCGUAAAGCGCGCGUAGGUGGCCAAUUAAGUCAAAUGUGAAAUCCCCGAGCUUAACUUGGGAAUUGCAUUCGAUACUGGUUGGCUAGAGUAUGGGAGAGGAUGGUAGAAUUCCAGGUGUAGCGGUGAAAUGCGUAGAGAUCUGGAGGAAUACCGAUGGCGAAGGCAGCCAUCUGGCCUAAUACUGACACUGAGGUGCGAAAGCGUGGGGAGCAAACAGGAUUAGAAACCCGAGUAGUCC